CUUGGAGCAGCCUGGGACAGUGGAAGGUGAGACUGGCUAACAAAUAUUGUAAAAGCCCUUUCAGACUGGCUGAACAGAGGGAAGCUCACUGAAGUGUGGGAUGUACUGUACUGCUGAUCCUUCCUAGAGCCAGGAUGGUGCUGGACAGGGCUGGGAGACCCUGGAGAUCUCCCAUUCUCCCAGAAACAGCAAGGAAACCUAAUGCCUAAAUGGGAAAGAUGAAAUUAUAUCCGUAGUGGGGAAUG